AAUGAACGCUGGCGGCAUGCCUAACACAUGCAAGUCGAACGAGACCUUCGGGUCUAGUGGCGCACGGGUGCGUAACGCGUGGGAAUCUGCCCUUGGGUUCGGAAUAACAGUUAGAAAUGACUGCUAAUACCGAAUGAUGUCGUAAGACCAAAGAUUCAUCGCCCAGGGAUGAGCCCGCGUAGGAUUAGCUAGUUGGUGUGGUAAAAGCGCACCAAGGCGACGAUCCAGCUGGUCUGAGAGGAUGAUCAGCCACACUGGGACCGAGACACGGCCCAGACUCCUACGGGAGGCAGCAGUGGGGAAUAUUGGACAAUGGGCGAAAGCCUGAUCCAGCAAUGCCGCGUGAGUGAUGAAGGCC
rnacentral:rRNA from 1 species